GGGGAUGAAUUAGGCUCGACGGGGAAGGUUGAUCGCAUAUUGCAAGCCGAGGCGCACGCCCUCGUAAAAACGCGCACAACUGUAGCUGCGAACACUCGCACUGCACCGGCUCUCGCUCUCGCCGCCUAAUCGGCUGAGCCGAGCUAGCUAACCCGAGGGUUAGCCGUCUGUCUGCUUCAGGUUCGGUUGGAGCAGCCACAGGCGACACCAAGACCGAACUGCUGCGUUGUGACACCGAUAAACAGCGCUUAAGAUCAUCGGUUUGCUGCCCGUAAGACCCUGUUAGGUGGGGCUGCGGCGGUGAAAAAUAAGUAGCCUAACUACGCUUGUAGACGUAUGCAGGAGAGCUUUUUCGGACCCGACCUGCAAUGGUCGGCAUCUCCACUC
rnacentral:tmRNA from 1 species